rnacentral:lncRNA from 1 species
GCAUGGUGGGAAGAGAGUAGAGGAGAAUGAUUGUUCCUAGUGCACAAAGGUACAUGGGUAGCUUGCUGGUCAGGGAAUAAUUUUUCUAAACAUGAUCUUUUCUCAACAGAUCCAGUUUCACUGUUUCCACCUGGGCUGAUAAGGACGUGCCUCUCAGGAUCUUUGUGGAGAGGCCUUGCUUUGGAAAUCAAGACUCUGCCCUCAUGCAACUGUGGAUAGCUCUUGAAGCAUACUGGUUUUAUCACUAGAAAGCUGGAUUAUCCAGAGCCCAAAGAGGCUCUAGGAUAAAACUAGCACUUGAAACAGGAUCAUUCUAUAUAGAGAACUAAAGAACUAUUUCUUUGGUGUUGUCUCCAGAGGUGAACUUGCCAACAUACUGGAACUUUAAGAUUGUCAAUAAUUCAAGAUAGGUGU